GAAUUUUGCUCAAUGGGCGAAAGCCUGAAGCAGCAACGCCGCGUGAGGGAUGAAGGCCUUCGGGUUGUAAAGCUCUGUGGGGAGAGAAGAAUAAGUGCAAGCGAACACUUUGCAUGAUGACGGUAUCUCCUUAGCAAGCACCGGCUAACUCUGUGCCAGCAGCCGCGGUAAUACAGAGGGUGCAAACGUUGUUCGGAAUCACUGGGCGUAAAGCGCGUGUAGGCGGCUUCUCAAGUCGGGUGUGAAAUCCCAGGGCUCAACCCUGGAAGGGCAUUCGAAACUGGGUAGCUAGAGUACUGGAGAGGAAGGUGGAAUGCUUGGUGUAGAGGUGAAAUUCGUAGAUAUCAAGCGGAACACCGGUGGCGAAGGCGGCCUUCUGGACAGAUACUGACGCUGAGACGCGAAAGCGUGGGGAGCAAACAGG
rnacentral:rRNA from 1 species